AGUGAACGCUGGCGGUAGGCCUAACACAUGCAAGUCGAACGGCAGCACAGUAAGAGCUUGCUCUUACGGGUGGCGAGUGGCGGACGGGUGAGGAAUACAUCGGAAUCUACUUUUUCGUGGGGGAUAACGUAGGGAAACUUACGCUAAUACCGCAUACGACCUACGGGUGAAAGCAGGGGAUCUUCGGACCUUGCGCGAUUGAAUGAGCCGAUGUCGGAUUAGCUAGUUGGCGGGGUAAAGGCCCACCAAGGCGACGAUCCGUAGCUGGUCUGAGAGGAUGAUCAGCCAAACUGGAACUGAGACACGGUCCAGACUCCUACGGGAGGCAGCAGUGGGGAAUAUUGGACAAUGGGCGAAAGCCUGAUCCAGCCAUACCGCGUGGGUGAAGAGGCCUUCGGGUUGUAAAGCCCUUUUGUUGGGAAAGAAAAGCAGCAGGUUAAUACCCCGCUGUUCUGACGGUACCCAAAGAAUAAGCACCGGCUAACUUCGUG
rnacentral:rRNA from 1 species